CGCGUAGGCGGGGUCGUGGGUCGGCCGUGAAAUCCACCGGCUCAACCGGUGAACUGCGGUCGAAACUACGACUCUUGGGCUCGGUAGAGGAAGGCGGAAUUCCUGGUGUAGCGGUGGAAUGCGUAGAUAUCAGGAAGAACACCGGUAGCGAAGGCGGCCUUCUGGGCCGUAGCUGACGCUGAGGCGCGAAAGCCGGGGGAGCGAACA
rnacentral:rRNA from 1 species